AUCAAGUAGAGACAGCAGAUCACUGUUUAAAAGGGAUUCUGGGCCUCUGAGAUUCCAGGGCUCUAGAGUGGAACACUGGGGAGGUUCUGAGAGCCCGAAGUGACCAUUGCAAUUCUAAAGUAUCCGUAGUAAAACGUUUGCCAUUUUGGAGGAUAAAGAAGUUCAAGUGAAGAUAAGCAGAAUCUUCUAAAGGGAACUUGGACAGGCAAGAGGAAAUGAGCAGUGGGGUAUGACAGGAAAAGGGUCUCACUGUGUUGAGCUGAUUCCCAGAGGAAGCUGAUCAAGAGGACACAUUCUACGUUUUUCAAGCUUGCUCAGACUUGGGAGAACUCAGGCUUCAGGGGACUGGAGGAAGGAGAGAAACCUGGCUAACAGUCAAGACAAAACAAGAGCUCAGUGAAGACAUGUGAGCAAGGACAGCAUUCUCUAGAGAGAGAAAGAGAGAGACAUGGUGAGAAGAGAGAAGACUAGAAAAGGAGGAAGACAAGAAAACCUCCCUUUCCAGCAACGUGGCUUUUUGCAGAUGAAGAAGCUCACGUAGACAAGGAAAAGCUGUUUACACAGGAGUGUACUAAGUAACCCAAUGGCAUUAUAAAAAGAGCGUCUACUCUCAACCUGUCCUCUGAGUUUCACUGGACUUGAGAGGAAAAAAAAUAGAGCUUGAGUCUUUAAAGGCAGCAAAGAUUCCAGACACAAGAAUCUCAGAGAAAAAGACCACUAAGAAGUCAACUUGACAACCUGCAGUAAACUUCUCCUUGACGCAAAUGGCAAGUAAUAUGCUGCACAUAAAUGGCCCAGCCACUGUGAAGGUAAGCAGAACGCCUUUGCU
rnacentral:lncRNA from 1 species